rnacentral:rRNA from 1 species
AGAGUUUGAUCAUGGCUCAGGACGAACGCUGGCGGCGUGCUUAACACAUGCAAGUCGAACGGAAAGGCCCCUUCGGGGGCACUCGAGUGGCGAACGGGUGAGUAACACGUGGGUGAUCUGCCCUGCACUUCGGGAUAAGCUUGGGAAACUGGGUCUAAUACCGGAUAGGACCACGCGCUGCAUGGUGUGUGGUGGAAAGCGUUUUAGUGGUGUGGGAUGGGCCCGCGGCCUAUCAGCUUGUUGGUGGGGUGAUGGCCUACCAAGGCGACGACGGGUAGCCGGCCUGAGAGGGUGUUCGGUCACAUUGGGACUGAGAUACGGCCCAGACUCCUACGGGAGGCAGCAGUGGGGAAUAUUGCACAAUGGGCGCAAGCCUGAUGCAGCGACGCCGCGUGGGGGAUGACGGCCUUCGGGUUGUAAACCUCUUUCACCAUCGGCGAAGCUCCGGGUUUCCGGGGUGACGGUAGGUGGAGAAGAAGCACCGGCCAACUACGUGCCAGCAGCCGCGGUAAUACGUAGGGUGCGAGCGUUGUCCGGAAUUACUGGGCGUAAAGAGCUCGUAGGUGGUUUGUCGCGUUGUUCGUGAAAUUCCCUGGCUUAACUGGGGGCGUGCGGGCGAUACGGGCAGACUGGAGUACUGCAGGGGAGACUGGAAUUCCUGGUGUAGCGGGAAUGCGCAGAUAUCAGGAGGAACACCGGUGGCGAAGGCGGGUCUCUGGGCAGUAACUGACGCUGAGGAGCGAAAGCGUGGGGAGCGAACAGGAUUAGAUACCCUGGUAGUCC